rnacentral:rRNA from 1 species
UGCGUAGGGGGCAAGCGUUGUCCGGAAUCAUUGGGCGUAAAGAGCGUGUAGGCGGCCCGGUAAGUCCGCUGUGAAAGUCCAGGGCUCAACCCUGGAAUGCCGGUGGAAACUGUCGGGCUAGAGUCCGGAAGAGGCGAGUGGAAUUCCUGGUGUAGCGGUGAAAUGCGCAGAUAUCAGGAGGAACACCAAUGGCGAAGGCAGCUCGCUGGGACGGUACUGACGCUGAGACGCGAAAGCGUGGGGAGCAAACAGG